UACAGAGGUCCCGAGCGUUGUUCGGAUUCACUGGGCGUAAAGGGUGCGUAGGCGGCGCGGUAAGUCGGGUGUGAAAUCUCGGAGCUUAACUCCGAAACUGCAUUCGAUACUGCCGUGCUUGAGUGCGAGAGAGGAGCGUGGAAUUCCGGGUGUAGUGGUGAAAUGCGUAGAGAUCCGGAGGAACCCCAGAGGCGAAGGCGGCGCUCUGGCUCGCAACUGACGCUCAGACACGACGAGCAUGGGGAG
rnacentral:rRNA from 1 species